CCUACGGGAGGCAGCAGUAGGGAAUCUUCCACAAUGGGCGAAAGCCUGAUGGAGCAACGCCGCGUGGGUGAAGAAGGUCUUCGGAUCGUAAAACCCUGUUGUAAGAGAAGAAAGUGCGCGAGAGGAACUGUUCACGUUUCGACGGUAUCUUACCAGAAAGCCACGGCUAACUACGUGCCAGCAGCCGCGGUAAUACGUAGGUGGCAAGCGUUAUCCGGAUUUAUUGGGCGUAAAGGGCACGCAGGCGGUUGUUUAAGUCUGAUGUGAAAGCCUUGGGCUUAACCGGAGUAGUGCAUUGGAUACUGGCAGACUUGAGUGAGGAAGAGGGGAGUGGAAUUCCAUGUGUAGCGGUGAAAUGCGUAGAUAUAUGGAAGAACACCAAUGGCGAAGGCAGCUUUCUGGUCUGUAACUGACGCUGAGGUUCGAAAGCGUGGGGAGCAAACAGGAUUAGAUACCCUGGUAGUC
rnacentral:rRNA from 1 species